GCGAGUCGCGCGAGAAUGUAGCAAUACAGGACAGCGGCGAAAGGGAGAGGACAACACGGGAAUCUGCCUUGGGGACGAGGAUAGCGUCGGGAAACUGACAGUAAUACUCGAUAAUGAUUGCGGACCAAAGGUGUGAUUCCGCCCCAAGAUGAGCCCGUGCCCCAUUAGCUAGUUGGCAGGGUAAUGGCCUACCAAGGCUGUGAUGGGUAGCUGGUGUGAGAGCACGACCAGCCUCACUGGCACUGAGACACUGGCCAGACACCUACGGGUGGCUGCAGUCGAGAAUCUUCGGCAAUGGACGAAAGUCUGACCGAGCGACGCCGCGUGCGGGAUGAAGGCCUUCGGGUUGUAAACCGCUGUCGUAGGGGAACAAAUGUAGUGGGGUUCUCCCCAUUACUUGAGUGAUCCUAGGAGGAAGGGGAGGCUAAGCUCGUGCCAGCAGCCGCGGUAAGACGAGCUCCCCGAACGUUAUUCGGUAUUACUGGGCUUAAAGAGUUCGUAGGCGGCCCGACAGGUGAGGUGUGAAAUCCCUCGGCUCAACCGAGGAACUGCGCUUCAAACCGUCAGGCUUGAGGGAGAUAGAGGUGAGCGGAACAGAUGGUGGAGCGGUGAAAUGCGUUGAUAUCAUCUGGAACACCGGUGGCGAAAGCGGCUCACUGGAUCUUUUCUGACGCUGAGGAACGAAAGCUAGGGUAGCGAACGGGAUUAGAUACCCCGGUAGUCCUAGCCGUAAACGAUGAGCACUAGUCCGAGGGAACCCUCACAUUUUCUCGGACGUAGCGAAAGUGUUAAGUGCUCCGCCUGGGGAGUACGGCCGCAAGGCUAAAACUCAAAGGAAUUGACGGGGGCUCACACAAGCGGUGGAGGAUGUGGCUUAAUUCGAGGCUACGCGAAGAACCUUAUCCUAGUCUUGACAUGCUUAGGAAUCU
rnacentral:rRNA from 1 species